rnacentral:rRNA from 1 species
GAUGAACGCUGGCGGCGUGCCUAAUACAUGCAAGUCGAGCGAAUGGAUUAAGAGCUUGCUCUUAUGAAGUUAGCGGCGGACGGGUGAGUAACACGUGGGUAACCUGCCCAUAAGACUGGGAUAACUCCGGGAAACCGGGGCUAAUACCGGAUAACAUUUUGAACCGCCUGGUUCGAAAUUGAAAGGCGGCUUCGGCUGUCACUUAUGGAUGGACCCGGGGCGCAUUAGCUAGUUGGUGAGGUAACGGCUCACCAAGGCAACGAUGCGUAGCCGACCUGAGAGGGUGAUCGGCCACACUGGGACUGAGACACGGCCCAGACUCCUACGGGAGGCAGCAGUAGGGAAUCUUCCGCAAUGGACGAAAGUCUGACGGAGCAACGCCGCGUGAGUGAUGAAGGCUUUCGGGUCGUAAAACUCUGUUGUUAGGGAAGAACAAGUGCUAGUUGAAUAAGCUGGCACCUUGACGGUACCUAACCAGAAAGCCACGGCUAACUACGUGCCAGCCGCCGCGGUAA